rnacentral:lncRNA from 1 species
AUCAGCAGGAGACAAAGUUGCCAAUAGCACUCUGUCAACAAUGAGAAAUCAAUCACCCUAUGUGUGACAUCCUGUGUUCCUCCUAGGGAUUUGAAUCACAAUCAAGACAGGAGGGAGGAUACACACGCUUCUGUCAUCCCUGCCACUGAAAGCAAGUCACAGCCUGUCACUUUAAGGAUGGCAGUGGAGCGCCAGGAAAUAAUUUGGCAAUUACUACCUGGACUAAUCAAUUCCCUGCGCAGUCUCCAGAGUCCUGACAAUGGCCCACAGGGUGCUACUUCAUCCUUCUCCUCUCUGGCUCACUUUCCCAGCUGUUCUUCCAGAGUCCUGAGCUCCUUCUCAUCCUAGGACAGCCCGGCUAUUGCUGCUGAGUGGAGUACUCUUCCCCAGUCUUUACUGGAGAAAAUGUUCACCUUCUUGCUAAGACCUACUUUGAUCAAACAAUUGAAAGCUGUAUCCCUCCCCAGACCCAUUACUUUUCAUUGUUUCUUUUUAUUCUAAGGUACUUUUCCUAUAAUACAUUCAAAUAUAC